AUUGAACGCUGGCGGCAGGCCUAACACAUGCAAGUCGAGCGGAUGAAGGGAGCUUGCUCCUGGAUUCAGCGGCGGACGGGUGAGUAAUGCCUAGGAAUCUGCCUGGUAGUGGGGGAUAACGUCCGGAAACGGGCGCUGAUACCGCAUACGUCCUGAGGGAGAAAGUGGGGGAUCUUCGGACCUCACGCUAUCAGAUGAGCCUAGGUCGGAUUAGCUAGUUGGUGGGGUAAAGGCCUACCAAGGCGACGAUCCGUAACUGGUCUGAGAGGAUGAUCAGUCACACUGGAACUGAGACACGGUCCAGACUCCUACGGGAGGCAGCAGUGGUGAAUAUUGGACAAUGGGCGAAAGCCUGAUCCAGCCAUGCCGCGUGUGUGAAGAAGGUCUUCGGAUUGUAAAGCACUUUAAGUUGGGAGGAAGGGCAGUAAGUUAAUACCUUGCUGUUUUGACGUUACCAACAGAAUAAGCACCGGCUAACUUCGUG
rnacentral:rRNA from 1 species